rnacentral:tRNA from 1 species
CAAUUUAAAGCUUAUUUAAUAAAGUAUUUCAUUUACAUUGAAAAGAUUGUUGUGUAAAUCAAUAUAAAUUGA